CUUCGCCACGUCGAUUUGCUCGUUUUGCGAGAGCAGUUUGCCGAUGGAUUCACGAAUAGAAGGAUGCCAGCUCACGGCACGACUCACCGCGUCGUUGAGCGUCAGGCUACCGGGAGCGGCAGCGCUCAGCGGCAGAUCGGCAACCGCGCCGUCCAGCGAGGGAAGCAUCUGGCUAGUGGCCAGUCCUUCCGGCGUAAUAAUUUGCGGUUCAUCUUCGGCAUUCACCCGCAGGGUACAGAGCGUUAAUGCCAGCAGUAAGGCAACAGGCGCGACAUUUCUCAUAGAUUAUCCCUUACAAAAUACGGCAGCGACGACUGUUAUUGCCCCGGAUGUCAUCGCAUCCGGGGCUGUAGU
rnacentral:sRNA from 10 species